rnacentral:lncRNA from 1 species
AGGAAUUUAUUGCUUUUGUGGUGCUGGAUAUCCUAACUGGAACACAAAGAAAUGAGCUACAAAUUAUAUCUCCAAUUAAUACGAUGGUAAAUAUUAACAAAUUUAAUAAAACGUUCAAAAUUUCAAUAAAAUAUGGGAAGCAUAAAAUAUAAAACAGUCCUCUUAAAAGAUCACUUCGCAGGCCAUAGAGGUGUAUAAAAACGAUGAGACACAGGCGCCGCUGAAAUGGAAUUGGGAGUGGUUGUAAUGUCUGGCCAGAAACACCUGGGCGAUGAUACCCAUCACAAGUAUUGCCCCACAGAGGAAGAUGACUUUCUUUUUAAUUAACUCUUGAGGUACCGACGGCUUCUUUAUAGCCUAUGCAGCGAUGUUUAUUCGUUUGGCCUGACAGCAGUUACAGCAUCGUAACUCGUUGACUAAUUCUAUCGUUUUGCUGCGACGGUUUGUCCUAGUACUGGAUAUGGUCUUGAAAAGUCCGUCGAAAAGCUUUUGUACCUCGCACAUGAUUGUAUGUAGCUCUUUUUUUUAGUAUUUAAUUUUUUUUUUAUUUAUAUAAACCUUUCCAAAAGGUAGCGAUGCUUUUAAGAAACUGAGUAUAAUACUAUAAUCUGAUACCCAACGCUCUUUGAUAGUGUAUGAGGGCUAACAUUAAAGACAUCAUAUUGAUAAAUAAGAAUCAAAAUGGGAUUGAAAUGCAACGUGCACACUAAAAAUUGGUCAUCGCAGUUGGCAGACUGAAUGGAAUGACAAUGGAAUUGCAGACUGAACACUUCACACUUCACACUAGACGCCGAAAGACCUUCACGAUAAUGGGUAAGUGCAACAUUUUUCAGAUAUUCUGCCCCAUUUUCGACUGUAAAUUUAACCAUGAUUGAGCAACAUUAUUGUCAUUUUCAGAAUCAAAACGAAACGAACUCGAAAAUGUACAAUGGACAAUUUAUUGACAGUGAUUAUGAUUUGAGAUGUGGAGAUGUGUGAAACGCGCCUUCAACUCUACCUCCGGAGUGGUGUGGAAAAGAGUUAUUAAAUAAAUAACUAAAACAACAAAUUAUUUGAGUCUAAAGGCACCACAAAUGCUUGUCUUAAAGGUACAUCCGCUGGAUCGUGUUCCGUACUUGAGGCACUGCCACAUGGCGUUCCCAGUAUUUGUGUGCUACUCGUAUAAGAGAACGUCUUAUACGGCUGUGGGCGUAUAAAAGGUGACGGCCUGGCAACGAAUGCUCGCAUACGCUGGCUGGCCCUCGACACUACCAGCUGUAUCCGCUGUCCUCGUGCAGAGUCCUGAAAUGUGAUGCUCCAACAUCGUUAAUAAAUUCUCAAGAGAAUGAAAUGGGCACGUAAAUGUGUGAAUUGAAAGCCUUUCGUUGAAUAAGAACCACAAGCAAAAUAAUUUAAUAUUCAUCACAGCACUGUCAAAAAUAUAAAUUUUGACAUUUAUCACCAAGAGUAGAAUUAUUUGUAAUCAAUAGCUUAAAAUGUACAAGCG